rnacentral:rRNA from 1 species
CUCUAGCUACAGGCUUAACACAUGCAAGUCGAGGGGCAGCAUGGUCUUAGCUUGCUAAGGCCGAUGGCGACCGGCGCACGGGUGAGUAACACGUAUCCAACCUGCCGUCUACUCUUGGACAGCCUUCUGAAAGGAAGAUUAAUACAAGAUGGCAUCAUGAGUCCGCAUGUUCACAUGAUUAAAGGUAUUCCGGUAGACGAUGGGGAUGCGUUCCAUUAGAUAGUAGGCGGGGUAACGGCCCACCUAGUCUUCGAUGGAUAGGGGUUCUGAGAGGAAGGUCCCCCACAUUGGAACUGAGACACGGUCCAAACUCCUACGGGAGGCAGCAGUGAGGAAUAUUGGUCAAUGGGCGAGAGCCUGAACCAGCCAAGUAGCGUGAAGGAUGACUGCCCUAUGGGUUGUAAACUUCUUUUAUAAAGGAAUAAAGUCGGGUAUGCAUACCCGUUUGCAUGUACUUUAUGAAUAAGGAUCGGCUAACUCCGUGCCAGCAGCCGCGGUAAUACGGAGGAUCCGAGCGUUAUCCGGAUUUAUUGGGUUUAAAGGGAGCGUAGAUGGAUGUUUAAGUCAGUUGUGAAAGUUUGCGGCUCAACCGUAAAAUUGCAGUUGAUACUGGAUAUCUUGAGUGCAGUUGAGGCAGGCGGAAUUCGUGGUGUAGCGGUGAAAUGCUUAGAUAUCACGAAGAACUCCGAUUGCGAAGGCAGCCUGCUAAGCUGCAACUGACAUUGAGGCUCGAAAGUGUGGGUAUCAAACAGGAUUAGAUACCCUGGUAGUCCACACGGUAAACGAUGAAUACUCGCUGUUUGCGAUAUACAGCAAGCGGCCAAGCGAAAGCGUUAAGUAUUCCACCUGGGGAGUACGCCGGCAACGGUGAAACUCAAAGGAAUUGACGGGGGCCCGCACAAGCGGAGGAACAUGUGGUUUAAUUCGAUGAUACGCGAGGAACCUUACCCGGGCUUAAAUUGCAGAUGAAUUACGGUGAAAGCCGUAAGCCGCAAGGCAUCUGUGAAGGUGCUGCAUGGUUGUCGUCAGCUCGUGCCGUGAGGUGUCGGCUUAAGUGCCAUAACGAGCGCAACCCUUGUUGUCAGUUACUAACAGGUCAUGCUGAGGACUCUGACAAGACUGCCAUCGUAAGAUGUGAGGAAGGUGGGGAUGACGUCAAAUCAGCACGGCCCUUACGUCCGGGGCUACACACGUGUUACAAUGGGGGGUACAGAGGGCCGCUACCACGCGAGUGGAUGCCAAUCCCCAAAACCUCUCUCAGUUCGGACUGGAGUCUGCAACCCGACUCCACGAAGCUGGAUUCGCUAGUAAUCGCGCAUCAGCCACGGCGCGGUGAAUACGUUCCCGGGCCUUGUACACACCGCCCGUCAAGCCAUGGGAGCCGGGGGUACCUGAAGUGCGUAACCGCGAGGAGCGCCCUAGGGUAAAACUGGUGACUGGGGCUA